AAUCUACUCCCUCCGUUUGGAAUUACUUGUCUCGGAAAUGAAUGUAUCUAGAAUUAAAAUACGUCUAGAUACAUCCAUUUUCGCGACAAGUAAUUCCGGACGGAGGGAGUAGUUA
rnacentral:pre_miRNA from 1 species